AGAAUUCUGAAAUGCAGUGAAAAAGUGUCAUUCUGAAAUGCAGAAUUCUGAUGCCUUGCUGACGUAGUGACUACCGACGCCACUUUUUUCUUGCAGUCGAGAAUCUCUGAAUCGUUCGCUCCCUCCGUCACAAUUCAGAUUUCAGAAUCGACUCGGUUUCUGAUCUAUGGAGAACGCCGAUCCAGUUCCUCAAUCUGCUCCUCCUUUUUCUUCCGAUCCCUCAGAUUCCCGCAACCGCCAACCACCGCAGCUCCGCUACUUGCACUGCAGCUGCUUCCGCCGCUGCUGCCGCUGUUUCUGCUGCUUCUACGCCUAAUCAUCACUCAAAAACACCUCACUCUUUUGCUACCAUAGACCUUUAGUUUGUUUGCUUAUGAGGAUGCAAUUCCAAUGCUGGGGAAAGCUACUUGAUUUCCUGAUGAGUUAUGCUCAAAUGAAGUGUCCACUGCUACAAAGGUGUGUACCCUUUAUCGCUUCUGUAAUGUUAUUCUUCUGUAGAGUUUCUAAUUUAAAUUUUAUGCUGGUAAUGCGCUCUGAAGCACAAUGACUGAUUCUUUGUUGUUUGGGUGAUAUCGUGUCACUGUAAGAAUUUAGCUAUCAACUAUGGAAAAGGUUUGAAAAGAAAAAAAUCUAUACACAAUGUACAUAAUAGGAAGGGUAAAGAGUCUAAUAAGCUGGGAAUAGUUGGUCACCAUGCUUUCCUGAGUAAAAAGGUAUUACAUGUAUGUAUAGUUGUCUCUAGGUUCUUGGAUUUAAAAGUAUUCCUAAGUUCCCUGUUCCUGAAUAAAAAUGUAUUGCAGGUUCAAGACUAGUAUCACUAUGGAUCCCUAAAUCCCCGUUCUUGCAAUGCAUGAUCUUUUUGUUUUGUUUGUUUUCUUUGAUUUUUAUUUUUUUAAAAUUUAUUUUAUGUUUGUAGACUGGCAUCUUUUACUUUGUUUUGUUUUGUUCUAUUAUGGCGUAGAGCUUUACAUCAUGUGUAGAUGUGCUAGACCAAUUAUGAUGUACCUUUUAUUUUGAUUUUUGACACAACUAGAAAGUAAAUGUAUAUAAUGACAGAUAUGGAUGCAGAAAAUAAAUGUAUGAACUCAACUUCA